rnacentral:rRNA from 1 species
GAAUUUUGGACAAUGGGGGCAACCCUGAUCCAGCCAUCCCGCGUGUGCGAUGAAGGCCUUCGGGUUGUACAGCACUUUUGGCCGGGAAGAAAAGGCUCUGGCUAAUCCUUGGAGCUGCUGACGGUACCUGCAGAAUAAGCACCGGCUACCUCCGUUCCCGCAGCCGCGGUAAUACGUAGGGUGCAAGCGUUAAUCGGAAUGACUGGGCGUAAAGCGUGCGCAGGCGGUUCGGCAAGAAGGAUGUGAAAUCCCAGGGCUUAACCUUGGAACUGCAUUCUUAACUGCCGGGCUAGAGUAUGUCAGAGGGGGGUAGAAUUCCGCGUGUAGCAGUGAAAUGCGUAGAGAUGCGGAGGAAUACCGAUGGCGAAGGCAGCCCCCUGGGAUAAUACUGACGCUCAUGCGCGAAAGCGUGGGGAGCAAAC